rnacentral:rRNA from 1 species
UACGUAGGGGGCAAGCGUUGUCCGGAAUCAUUGGGCGUAAAGCGCGUGUAGGCGGCUGGCUAAGUCCGCUCUGAAAGCCCGGGGCUCAACCCCGGGAGGCGGGUGGAUACUGGUCAGCUCGAGUCCGGAAGAGGAGUGUGGAAUUCCUGGUGUAGCGGUGAAAUGCGCAGAUAUCUGGAGGAACACCAGUGGCGAAGGCGGCUUCCUGGCCUGUAACUGACGCUGAGACGCGAAAGCGUGGGGAGCGAACCGG